rnacentral:tRNA from 1 species
GGGGUAUAGCUCAGAUGGUAGAGCGCGUGGUUCGCAUUCACGAGGUCAGGGGUUCGAUUCCCCUUAUCUCC